UAAGAUUUGUAAGCAAGAAUGUUACCUCCCUACCACUUAGCGUUGUCGAGACAAGCAACGAUUCAUGCAAAUAGUUAUGAAUGUGCUCUGCAUGGUGGGGCUGUCAAUGCCUAGGCACACAUACCAUGCGCUUUACAUCAGAUAAGGACCAACUUUGUUCCUUUUCUACAACCACGUUAUCGAGCCAUUUGUGCAGCUGUAUAAAUUGAAUUGCUUUGCUUUGGAGGCUCUCAAUGUGUAAUAUACGAAUUCGUCUGCCUGACGCCAUUUGCAACUCCCGACGCCGUUGCGGACAGAGUGAUCUGUAACACACUUGCAACAUGAAACCCGUCAACUACGUUGUGAUUCUAUGUUGUAUUGCAUUGAGUACAUGUGUGGCGAGGCCAGCGCCCAGGGAGGAAAAAACGACAGCGGAAAUACGGAAUGAUUACACUCCCGGUUUACAUUUUAGUAGCCGGCUGCUAAAUUGGUGGUGUCUUUGGCUAAGGAGCAGAGGACCCGGAUGGAUGUAUGUUUAUGGGAGAAGCUGCUACCUUUCAGGCCAAGAUCGCAUUAUCGUCUCCAAUGCUCCAUUGAAAGUAUUGCAACAGUCUUCAAUUGGACCUGUUUACUGACAACAUGAAUCAAGCUCAAGAAAAAUGACACCGAAAAUAAUAAUAUUUUGUAACAUGUGACAGCUUCGUCACAUAUCUUAUUAACUCGGUGUACGAGAUUGUAUCAGCUGAAGUCCUUUUGCUCCCGUCUCUGGCUGUACAUGUCCAUUUAUAGUGCAUUUGCUUAAGGUCCUCCUUGGGAUACGUGUGUGAAGUCAUUGUGUUUCUAUUAAAUCAGUGUAUAAAUGA